CAGGAUUCAGUGCAGCCCUGCAGCCGGGCUCUCAGCCUCUAAUCUGCGCACCUCCUGAUGGCGGGCAGCCCCGAGAACGACUCUCGAUGACAACAGCUGACAGCCGUGUUGCCAUGACAAAUGCGAGUUGUGUGCCGUUCAAACGCGUUUCUAACAAUCAAGGGAAAUGGCAGAAUCCUUCUGAGAAGUUGAUGUAGAGAUAACUGGAGGUUCGUGGCGGGGGCAGGAAAGGGUCGUUUCUGGCAUCCCAGGGAGGUCACGUUGAUACAAAACGCAGCCUCAAAGUCCACACAAGUGUGGGACGUGGAAGUGGGUUUGCAAGGAGACGUCAGGGUCAGGGGAGAACCUACGACGCGGUCGGUCAAGGAGUCUCCACCAGGGAGAACCGUGCUCUCCCCUCUAGUGUGAACCGAGACCCACGAAGCCACAGCAAGUCCCUCCCAGCCGCACAGAUUUUAUCUGAAUCCCUGGGCUGGGCAGCUUUGCUUCUGCCUUCAGGGCUGGCUCUCAGUAAAGGCUCCUUGACGGGAAGCAACACCAUAAUCUCAGAGUGUACCAGGCCCUUUGAGGAAGGGGGUCAAAUCCCAAAUACCUUUCAGUCUCAAGACAUUUAAUAAGAGGCCAACAAAGUAUAUUGCAGAGCAAGACCUGCCGCACUGGGAAGGCAAACACUGCAACAAGCUAGAAGCCGCUUCCAGAAGGCGAGAGAUGACUGCCCAGCCCUGUGGCUGAUGGUUGUGAUGUGCUCUAACAACAACGACAAGGAUUAUUAAAGGGUCAAUUUUAAAGUCGUCCAAUUGAUUAACAUUUCUCGACGGGUAUAUAAACAACCCAGAGGCCCCAACUUUCCCCACCACCACUUCUCAGCCCAGCCCCUCCUCUCUCACUUGGAAGCUCUGCCUGUAGGAGAAAGAGCAGAAUCUUAAGAAAGGAGUUGACAAAAACUGAAAGACAUCCUGUGGCGAAAGUCUGGUGAACCUUGUACAAGGGGAAUGAUGCUAUCUCAGGUUCAUAGAUUCAGCAAGCAAGCCCUGUUCCCGUCCUCAAGGAUUUUGCAAUGGCGGAAGGAGAAAGAUAAGGUCCAGUGUAACACUGUGAACAAGGGGCCGUCGAGCAAAGAAUGUGUAGAAAGGAGGGUUGUGAGUUACUGUCCACUGAGCAUCUCCUCUCUGUCCAGCACUAAGCUGGAUGCCAUGGGAUGGAGUCUGAAGUCUACUGGGAGGAGUUCCUGAAACUUUAUGUGAGAGCUCUCCAAUCCUGGGUGACCACCAUCUUGGAUGGGGACUCCCAACAGGAAGGAAAGCCCACCUGGCCAUGGGAUUCCCUGGUCAAGGCCAAGACUCCGUCUGACAACAACAUAGAAACCAGGUCGUAGAGAACAUGAUUGCAACCAACAGCUCCAGUGAGAUGUUCUUUUCAUGUGUUUGCACACGUUGAACAUCAUCCCAAGAAAUUACUCUUCUCCAAGACAAAGAAACUUGGAACUUAAUCAGUAGAAUGAGCCUGGAUCUUCAACUUCAAACUGUUGAAUUUUCUUAUUCAUGCUUCCUUCUCACAGUUGGCUGAUCUCUCCUGCCCCAAGCUUUCAAAGGGAUGUUGGAGGCACUUAAAUUUUUCUUCACCAUAAAAGGAAGUCCUUCCUCCCUCCGGGACCUUGCGAUCCGUGGAUAAGGAACCAGCACAAACAGCAGGUCAGCCGCCCAUGGCCAAGUCUGCACUGGGCUGAGAAUGGUAUUUCUUUCUAGACCAAUGAACGUUGCUCGAACACACUGGCCCCAGAUUAAAACACACAAUUCCUCACCACUUCCCCAGGAGUGAUUUCUGAUCUCAAUGCCUCAAAAUCUGCUUUCUAGAAGGACUUUGCCCAAACCUGAGAAAGACAAACACCUUCACCACACCCCAGCCUGGCUGUCCUCAAAGGAGGCUUGGAAACACUGUGAAAGGCAUGCGUGGGAGUGCUUUGCGCUGGGAUCCCGCACACACUCUCCUGCGCUCACGGGCCUGUAUGUCACAGCCAAGUGCUUCCCAGCAAAGUACACAAGGGCUUUGUCUCAUUCUGCAAUGGUCGGCACUGGCCAUGGGGCUAUGGGGGCCACCGCUGUGUUUGUCCCGCUCAAAGAGAACAGCCUGAUGGGGGUGGGGUAGCUUGCUGCCACAAAGAGCCGGCCAGCCCCACCUUGCUUCAGGUGGAAAACACAACUCUCCACAUCCUGGCUGGGCUUUCCGGUCCAGAAUUUCACUAGGAAGGAAGGCAGGGAGGGACAAGAAGGCGGGGGAACAAAAGAAGGCGCUUUCUUUGUAUGACUCUCUUAAUAAAACAAAGCCUGGUCAGGGCA